CGGGUGAGUAACACGUGAGUAACCUGCCCUUAACUCUGGGAUAAGCCUGGGAAACUGGGUCUAAUACCGGAUAUGACUCCUCAUCGCAUGGUGGGGGGUGGAAAGCUUUAUUGUGGUUUUGGAUGGACUCGCGGCCUAUCAGCUUGUUGGUGAGGUAAUGGCUCACCAAGGCGACGACGGGUAGCCGGCCUGAGAGGGUGACCGGCCACACUGGGACUGAGACACGGCCCAGACUCCUACGGGAGGCAGCAGUGGGGAAUAUUGCACAAUGGGCGAAAGCCUGAUGCAGCGACGCCGCGUGAGGGAUGACGGCCUUCGGGUUGUAAACCUCUUUCAGUAGGGAAGAAGCGAAAGUGACGGUACCUGCAGAAGAAGCGCCGGCUAACUACGUGCCAGCAGCCGCGGUAAUACGUAGGGCGCAAGCGUUAUCCGGAAUUAUUGGGCGUAAAGAGCUCGUAGGCGGUUUGUCGCGUCUGCCGUGAAAGUCCGGGGCUCAACUCCGGAUCUGCGGUGGGUACGGGCAGACUAGAGUGAUGUAGGGGAGACUGGAAUUCCUGGUGUAGCGGUGAAAUGCGCAGAUAUCAGGAGGAACACCGAUGGCGAAGGCAGGUCUCUGGGCAUUAACUGACGCUGAGGAGCGAAAGCAUGGGGAGCGAACAGGAUUAGAUACCCUGGUAGUCCAUGCCGUAAACGUUGGGCACUAGGUGUGGGGGACAUUCCACGUUUUCCGCGCCGUAGCUAACGCAUUAAGUGCCCCGCCUGGGGAGUACGGCCGCAAGGCUAAAACUCAAAGGAAUUGACGGGGGCCCGCACAAGCGGCGGAGCAUGCGGAUUAAUUCGAUGCAACGCGAAGAACCUUACCAAGGCUUGACAUGAACCGGAAACACCUGGAAACAGGUGCCCCGCUUGCGGUCGGUUUACAGGUGGUGCAUGGUUGUCGUCAGCUCGUGUCGUGAGAUGUUGGGUUAAGUCCCGCAACGAGCGCAACCCUCGUUCUAUGUUGCCAGCGCGUUAUGGCGGGGACUCAUAGGAGACUGCCGGGGUCAACUCGGAGGAAGGUGGGGACGACGUCAAAUCAUCAUGCCCCUUAUGUCUUGGGCUUCACGCAUGCUACAAUGGCCGGUACAAAGGGUUGCGAUACUGUGAGGUGGAGCUAAUCCCAAAAAGCCGGUCUCAGUUCGGAUUGGGGUCUGCAACUCGACCCCAUGAAGUCGGAGUCGCUAGUAAUCGCAGAUCAGCAACGCUGCGGUGAAUACGUUCCCGGGCCUUGUACACACCGCCCGUCAAGUCACGAAAGUUGGUAA
rnacentral:rRNA from 1 species